GGAGCCUGCGGCUUAAUUUGACUCAACACGGGGAAACUCACCAGGUCCAGACACAAUAAGGAUUGACAGAUUGAGAGCUCUUUCUUGAUCUUGUGGAUGGUGGUGCAUGGCCGUUCUUAGUUGGUGGAGUGAUG
rnacentral:rRNA from 1 species